GACGAACGCUGGCGGCGUGCCUAAUACAUGCAAGUCGUGCGGACCUUGUUGAAAGCUUGCUUUUAAAAGGUUAGCGGCGGACGGGUGAGUAACACGUGGGCAACCUGCCUGUAAGACUGGGAUAACGCCGGGAAGCCGGGGCUAAUACCAGAUCGUUUUUUCCUCCGCAUGGAGGAAAAAGGAAAGGCGGCUUCGGCUGCCACUUACAGAUGGGCCCGCGGCGCAUUAGCUAGUUGGCGGGGUAAUGGCCCACCAAGGCAACGAUGCGUAGCCGACCUGAGAGGGUGAUCGGCCACAUUGGGACUGAGACACGGCCCAAACUCCUACGGGAGGCAGCAGUAGGGAAUCUUCCGCAAUGGACGAAAGUCUGACGGAGCAACGCCGCGUGAGUGAAGAAGGCCUUCGGGUCGUAAAACUCUGUUGCCGGGGAAGAACAAGUGCCGUUCGAACAGGGCGGCGCCUUGACGGUACCCGGCCAGAAAGCCACGGCUAACUACGUG
rnacentral:rRNA from 1 species